rnacentral:rRNA from 1 species
UAGCCUGCCCACUGAUUUGUUUUAAAGGGCCGCGGUAUAUUGACCGUGCGAAGGUAGCAUAAUCAUUAGUCUUUUAAUUGGAGGCUUGUAUGAAUGGUUGGACAAAAAGUAAGCUGUCUCGAUUAUAAUAAUUGAACUUAACUUUUAAGUGAAAAGGCUUAAAUGUUUCAGGGGGACGAUAAGACCCUAUAAAGCUUGACAAUAACUUCGUUAUAUUAUAAAUUGUUAGUAUAACUUGAUUUUAACGGGGGUUUGUUUCGUUGGGGCGACGGGAAUAUAAUAAAUAACUGUUCUUUUAAAUAUAAUUACAAAAAUGUUUGGUAAAUAAUUGAUCCUCUAUUAGAGAUUAAAAGAUUAAGUUACUUUAGGGAUAACAGCGUAAUCUUCUUUGAGAGUCCACAUCGACAAGAAGGUUUGCGACCUCGAUGUUGAAUUAAGGUAUCCUUAUAAUGCAGCAGUUAUAAAGGA